UACAGAGAGUGCAAGCGUUAAUCGGAAUCACUGGGCGUAAAGCGCGCGUAGGUGGAUAUUUUAGUCGAAUGUGAAAGCCCCGGGCUUAACUUGGGAAUUGCAUCCGAUACUGGAUAUCUAGAGUAUGGUAGAGGGAAGUGGAAUUUCCGGUGUAGCGGUGAAAUGCGUAGAUAUCGGAAAGAACACCAGUGGCGAAGGCGGCUUCCUGGACCAAUACUGACACUGAGGCGCGAAAGCGUGGGGAGCAAACAGG
rnacentral:misc_RNA from 1 species